UACGUAGGGGGCAAGCGUUGUCCGGAUUUAUUGGGCGUAAAGAGCGUGUAGGCGGCUUGGAAGGUCAGCUGUGAAAACUCGAGGCUCAACCUCGAGACGUCGGUUGAAACCACCUGGCUAGAGUCCGGAAGAGGAGAGUGGAAUUCCCGGUGUAGCGGUGAAAUGCGCAGAUAUCGGGAAGAACACCCGUGGCGAAGGCGGCUCUCUGGGACGGUACUGACGCUGAGACGCGAAAGCUAGGGGAGCAAACGGG
rnacentral:rRNA from 1 species